rnacentral:rRNA from 1 species
GACGAACGCUGGCGGCGUGCUUAACACAUGCAAGUCGAACGAUGAAGCUCUUUCGGGGGUGGAUUAGUGGCGGACGGGUGAGUAACACGUGGGCAAUCUGCCCUGCACUUCGGGACAAGCCUUGGAAACGGGGUCUAAUACCGGAUAUGACUGCCUGGGGCAUCUUGGGUGGUGGAAAGCUUUUGCGGUGCAGGAUGGGCCCGCGGCCUAUCAGCUUGUUGGUGGGGUGAUGGCCUACCAAGGCGACGACGGGUAGCCGGCCUGAGAGGGCGACCGGCCACACUGGGACUGAGACACGGCCCAGACUCCUACGGGAGGCAGCAGUGGGGAAUAUUGCACAAUGGGCGGAAGCCUGAUGCAGCGACGCCGCGUGAGGGAUGACGGCCUUCGGGUUGUAAACCUCUUUCAGCAGGGAAGAAGCUUUCGGGUGACGGUACCUGCAGAAGAAGCACCGGCUAACUACGUGCCAGCAGCAGCCGCGUAAUAC